AACAGAAAAUAUGAAACUUAAAGAAAAUGUAAAAUUAAUGAGUUUUUAAGAAAGAAUUCUUUAAGCUUAUGUUUAAUAUGAGCACUAUUGGCAGAAAAAUCAAACCGCAUUUCACUGGGAAGACUGUUAUAAAGCUUUAGUGAUCUGACCAUAGGCUCCGUAUUUGCAUAAGCAGUUCUAUGAAUCCCCACAGAAAACGGCAAAUGUUAUCCCAAAGAUCUGCUCGGCACAUUAACGUUAACGCAAGCUAGAAGAAAGGGCAGUCAAUUAUUCCUACAAUAAAAUUGUUUACAAAAAGCAGCGCUAGUCGACACCUAGCUGUGUAUGGCGCCUUUCAAUCCUGUUUGUGUCCAAACAAUUGCGGAUGGGCUCAAGAUUUAAGAAGCAUACUCUAAUACUGACCGCAUAAAGGCCGAAUAUAAAGAUAAUCUUGUGGACGGGUCUUUUAACUUGCUAGAAUUGCGCCUAAUAAACCCAAACAUCGGCAUAAUAUAGUUUAUAUGCUCAAUGAAAAAGAACUUAGAGUCAAAAAUUACUCCUAACGGCAUAAAAACAUUUGCUAAAUGUGAUGUGAUAGCAUUUAGCUAAGUUCAGUGAUAACUGGUUAUGUUUACACCAUUCAGACAAGUUGUGUCAGUCCUUCUGCAAAAACAGUACAUCAUGCUGAGACGAAAUGCAUUUGAAUAUUUUAUGGUCAUCGGCAAAUAAUAGAUAAUCGGACGAACGUAAGCAACUCCCUACAUCAAUAAUAGACAAGUUAAAUAGAAGCGGACCAAGACAACUCCCCUGAGGGUCCCCCAAAGAUGCGACAUAAGGUGCGGAGAAAGUAUUGUUAAUGCGUACGCUAUAAUAACGAUCAGACAGAUUGGAUUUUAACCAGCUUAAUAAAAAAGAGUGAAAACCCA